GAACGUUCUGCUGCUUUUCGUGAGCAGCAGGGAGUGGCGGACGGGUGAGUAACACAUGGGUGACCUGGCCUCAAGUGAGGGAUACCGGCGAGAAAUCGCCGACAAACCCGCAUAGGCUCUGCCUGGUAGAGCAGGCAGAGCAAAGCCUUUCUUUCUUGGAAGGGUGCUUGAGGAUGGGCCUGUGGCCGAUUAGCUGGUUGGUGGGGUAAGGGCCCACCAAGGCCAUGAUCGGUAGCUGGUCUGAGAGGACGAACAGCCACACUGGGAUUGAGAACGGCCCAGACUCCUACGGGGGGCAGCAGUGAGGAAUUUUCCGCAAUGGACGAAGAGUCUGACGGAGCAACGCCGCGUGCAGGAGGACGCGUUUCGGCGUGUAAACUGCUUUUCUGUGGGACGAGUUUGGACGGUACCACAGGAAGAAGCCCCGGCUAACUACGUGCCAGCAGCCGCGGUAAU
rnacentral:rRNA from 1 species